AUCUUGCUCCCGUUGGAAGAAGCCCUCGGGCUGCCGCCGACGUUCUUGGACGCCGAAGAUGGCGGUGAACCGACGGAGGCGGUGGCGGCGGCAGAUGCCGACGGCGGAACGCUGUUCGCCCCACCGAGCUGUUGAUGCUGCCCAGUUGGUGAGGGUCUGCCUGAGUUGAUCCCGAAAGAUAUCUGCGACUGGUUCCCCACGUUUGAGAGGAUCGACUGGGGAGGAGCCCUCCCUUGCUGCUGAGGCAGGUGGUUCUUGGCGGCGGGGGAGUUGGCGUUCGGAGGGGGAGUUGACAUGGCGGCCGUUGAGCCGGUUCUAGCAGAGUUCUUCCACUGCCCCGACUGGGUGGGGUUGUUGUUGCCUUGGAUGAGCGCCUGGGGAAUGCCAGAGAGAGCAUUGGGGAGCUUGGACAUCGCCGCCCCACCUGGCAUCC
rnacentral:lncRNA from 1 species